rnacentral:rRNA from 1 species
GACGAACGCUGGCGGCGUGCUUAACACAUGCAAGUCGAACGGAAAGGCCCAGCUUGCUGGGUACUCGAGUGGCGAACGGGUGAGUAACACGUGGGUGAUCUGCCCUGCACUCUGGGAUAAGCCUGGGAAACUGGGUCUAAUACCGGAUAUGACCAACUGUCGCAUGGUGGUUGGUGGAAAGCUUUUGCGGUGUGGGAUGGGCCCGCGGCCUAUCAGCUUGUUGGUGGGGUAAUGGCCUACCAAGGCGACGACGGGUAGCCGACCUGAGAGGGUGAUCGGCCACACUGGGACUGAGACACGGCCCAGACUCCUACGGGAGGCAGCAGUGGGGAAUAUUGCACAAUGGGCGCAAGCCUGAUGCAGCGACGCCGCGUGAGGGAUGACGGCCUUCGGUUGUAAACCUACUUUCACCUACGGACGAAGCGUGAGUGACGGUACC